AGAAGCUACAGACUGAUAGGAGGAACCAAAGAGCUCUGUAAAGGUGAGAGUGUAGGAAGAAGAGGAGAGGUAGUAGAAAAGUGCAGAAGGAAGUCAGUGCGUAUUGUUGGAAUCCCCAUGAUCAAAUGCAGGAGGUAAGAUGGCUGGAGAGGUGGAGCUGCAAAGGACAACCAGUCUCUGAGAGGCGUACUUGACAGGGAGUGCCAUCAGCCAGCAUCAGCUCAGGCAGCGCAGCACUCUCCUCCCCCGCAGAUGCACCUUGGGCCAGCAGCAGUCUCCUCCUCUUCUUUGUUCAGCGCAUCUGUUCAGCAUCAGAUGACAGCACUGAUUAGCCUCACUCAGGGUCUUAAUAAGACAACCGGAGUACAGAGAGCCAGUGCAAGGGUGAACUUCUCCCAGAUGCCUUCACCAUCUCCCCCACUGCCUCCUGGCGGAUGCUCCUCACUCCAUGUGUGUCCCAGCCCACCUGUUCAGCCCUCAUUACUGUCAGCCCC